rnacentral:misc_RNA from 1 species
AACGCACGAGACCUGCGGACCUGCGGAGGGAUCAUUAGUGAACGCCCUCACGGGCUUAUAACUAUUCCAAACCUCUGUGAACCGUGCCCUCCGGGGCUAUUUUACAAACAUGGUGUAAUGAACGUCAUAUAUCAUAACAAAACAAAACUUUUAACAAUGGAUCUCU